AUUGAACGCUGGCGGCGUGCCUAAUACAUGCAAGUAGGACGCAGUUGCGAACGGGUGAGUAACGCGUAGGUAACUACCUAUUAGAGGGGGAUAACUAUUGGAAACGAUAGCUAAUACCGCAUACUAGUAGAUGGACCUGCGUUGUAUUAGCUAGUAGGUAGGGUAAUGGCCUACCUAGGCAACGAUACAUAGCCUACCUGAGAGGGGUGUCGGCCACACUUGAACUGAGACCCGGCCCAGAUUCCUACGGGAGGCAGCAGUAGGGAAUCGUUGGCAAUGGGGGGAACCCGGACCGAGCAACACCGCGGGAGUGAAGAAGGUUUUCGGAUCGUAAAGCUAUGUAGUUAAGGAAGCGGUACUUAACCAGAAAGGGACGGCUAACUACGUGCCAGCAGCCGCGGUAAUAC
rnacentral:rRNA from 1 species